AAUUGAAACUGUAACCAAACAUGAUAAUGUUACAUUCCUAUAAAUACUUUGCUGGAAACCUACUUUUCUAGGAAAGUGAUUCCAGACGAUAAUGUUGAAUUCCAGCAACCAAACGCCUUCUAAGAGUCCAAAUCCUUAGACGACGAUGACUAGUUUAUAAGUCCAACGUCUUUACGAUUUAGGAUUAAUUUCAAUCUAUAAAUACCUAUGAUUGUGCUGCUUAUUAAUAAGUUUUCAAUCAAUAAAAUAAUUUUCUGCAAUCAUUGCUUCUGGAUUGUGAUGGCUACUUGAGUUCAAGAUAUACUUAACUUGAUUAUUACAAAAAUUUAUGUAAAUUUAUUUAUUAUUAUAGAAUUAAAGCUCUUAUAAACUCAAAUGAGCUCAAGCUCAAACUAGACUUCAUAAAUUUUAAUGUUAAUAUUUAUAUAGUAUAAUAUAUAUUUAAAAUUAUGUAAAAACUAACUACCAGAUUAGGCUCACAAACCACUAAAGUUGUGAGUUGACUAUUGUUAUACUUGAAUUUGGCUCAACGUGUUGCUCAAGUUCUAGCUCGACUUGAUUAUAGCAGAGUAUAAUUUGUAUAUUUUGCAAGCCAAGUCCAAGUAGCUUGAUUCACUUACAUCCCUAGUAAUUAACCCUAAACAUUUGCAUGAUAAAAUGUUAUUUCUACAACAUAGAUUUUCAAUUCAUUAAUCCUACAAAAUAUUAAGCAAAAAAAGUUGGAGACAGAACAGCAAACAAAAUGAAUGCAUUUUGUAAUUUCACAAGAGAAAAUGAAAACUGGAAACAGAAAAUAACUGAAAACAGAAAAUGGAAAACUGUUUCCUGCAAAUGACCAAAUCCCUGGCGUUCCAAACUAGAUUCAUCUAACCAGUAUAGAAAGUGAAUUUUGAAUUAUAGAUUUAGCGCCUAAAGUCCUUCAUGCAUUGAUUUAUAUGGACUACAUAAUCAAGAGCCUAUUUGACUUUUAGUUUUUGCUGUCCAAUUGUCAAAGAAACUUGUAUAAAUUUAUUUAUUUAUUUAUUUACUUGGUGUUUUAAAACAGAAAAACAGGUUGUUGCAACAACUGAAAACCACAAAAAAUGGCCCAUGCAAAACUAAUGAAUCUAGGUGAGAAGCACACCUAGUUAAGAUAUUGACCAUAGC
rnacentral:misc_RNA from 1 species